UUUUCUUUCUCUCUCUUCUAUUAAACUACUCCAUUUGCUUUUUCUCUUUUCUAUCUCUCUCUCUCCCUUCUCAUAAUGCUUCAUCUUCCUCUUCUUUCUCUUUUUCUUUUUUCUAUGUUCAUCUUCUUCAUUCUUCUGGUUAGGUCUUCUUUGAUCUGCGAUAUUUAAAAUGCAAUAUUUAUUCUAUUCAUUUUAUGAACAUUAUUUUGUUUGCAUUUCGCUAAUAGUUAUGGUGCUAAUUUUUGCAGAUCUGAACUAUAAUGAGAUUGAACAAAAACUUCCAGAUCUAAAAUGAGAUCAUGUAAAAUUGAAACCUCAACCUUUAUAAUUUUGGUUCCAUCAAAAACAUAAAAGAUUAAUUUUUUACAUCCAGGAACUGCCAAACAUACAAAUCUAAGUUUUACUUCCUUUUUCUCACAGUUGUUUUGGUAAGUUUGUGAAAAUUCAACUAAAGGGAGAAUUUUGAAGGUGCUAUCUGAACUUGCCUAUUAAGAAGAUCAUGUAUUUGUUGGUUCUCAAAUCCAUAAAGAAAUUGCCAUUUUUAUAUGAUUUGUUCACCACCUCCAAAAUUAAUUAAUUUUCUUUUGUGAUAAAUUAAA